CAUGAUUCUCCCGCUCCCGACAGAUGCAGGUUAAGAUCCUCCCUGAGUUCACCAAGAUGAAGAGAUGGAAUCAGUGUCUGGUUUUGAGGGGAAAGUGCUCCUCAAGCCCCAGCUGUGGUUCCUGACACCCAUUUCAAACAGCUCGCCACCACCCGGAGCUCCAAGACCAGGAAUACUGGAAGAUCACAUGGUUCCCGGUUGUCCUUCAUUGUUCUAACUGAAAUGAAGAAAGCAGGCUUCCUUACCCACUCCGAGGAGUUGAUGUGGGGCUAAGAGUUGUAAGAUGGGACUGAAUGAAGGUACAGAAGAGAAACACAAAAGCAAGAAGCCCAAAAUAGAAACAGUACUGGAAAAGAGGAACAGCAUCCAGUUAGCUAUGUACAGCAUGAUUCCAGUAAGCCCUUUUCCUGUAAGCAGUUCUUUCAGAACCGAGCACAUGUGUUGAGCUGCACACCUCCCUCAUACGUAUACUGUGUGUACCAGAAGACAGUGAGAGGAGAACACAAGAUGGUUUUGUGCUCCCAGCAUGGAAACCAUUAACUUGGUUUUACUUUGUAAGACUAAGCAAGUUAUUUAAACUCAUGGACUUGAAUGGUCUCAGCACUUAAGAACUGGCCACCUUACAAGAUAAUUUUGUUAAGUGAUGUAUUAACAUAAUGUAGUAAUCUCAUGUUAAGCAUAACUUUCUUAUUAUAUUUAAAAAUAUUGAAUCCACUCAUUAAUUAGUAUGUGGUCAGCACUUAUAUUUUCAAAAUGCUUUUAUUCACCAACUCUUUAUUUCAAAACAUCGAAAAAACCAAGGAGGUAAAAACAUGAGACAUCUCUGUUGAAGUUUAUAAUGUACAUUUAAUGUAGUCCUGCUUUUAUGAAUAAAACUCACGAAAAUUACAUGUACAAAAUUACCCAAAUGAUGUACAUAUGAGUAGAAAUGUGUCUUAAAUUUGUGUCUCAUUUGCUAAUAUCCUUUAAAAUAAAUUUAUUGUUGAUAAAAAUGUUCAGAUG